UUUUUAGUUAUUUAGAACCGAACGUGUAAUAUUUUCUUCAUUGUCAUUUUUCAGCGUAAAUUCUCUCUUUAGAUAUUUAGGGGAUGAUCGAAGACCUAAAGACAUCAACUUGCAGCUCUGUGAAUCCGGGUUCGAAUUUAAGUCGACUGAGUUAAAUUCGAGUUAAUCGGGUUUCAUCGGACUCCAUUGUCCCCAUUGUAUACUUGAUUAGAAUUCCAAGAGUAAAAGUAAUUUAUCAGCGAGAUAAUAGUUAAAAGGAUAUGCAUUCAUCCACAAAAGAUCUAUUGAAUUUUGCAAAUUCUGCAUCCGACAACAUCAAAUCCAUCCUUUGCAAACCCUCACAACAUAAAAGGAAAGUGAAUCAUAGGAAUUUUCUACGUAAACAAAUUCGAAGAUUCAAAAUGAAUUCCGAAUUUCAAAUGAAGACCAAAAACUAUUUACACAAAGAAAAAUCAAAUGAAUCUAUUGAACAGUUAUUGAGCAAUGAGAAAUUAACAAGUAAAGAGAAUUGUAAUCAUCAUCAUCAUCAUCAAGAUGAAAUUCUUCCUGAAAAUUCGACUCAAACGCAUACAGUAAUGAGUAAUUAUCCUUCCUGUGUUUAUGAUUAUCAUUCUCUUUAUGAAAAUGAUAAUGAAUUGUUUAAUGAAGAUAAGCAAAAUCAAUUAUUCAUCCCCUCCAUUACUAUAGAUUCAUUAAGAAGAGAAGAAUGGGGCUAUAUUGAUAGCAUUGUUUCGUCCAGAUUAUGAUAUUCUUGCAUUUAAAAUAUCUUUUGAUGUCUUAAUUACAAAUAUAUGUAAUAAUUAUAAUUAAAAUUUUGAGUAUAAUGG